rnacentral:rRNA from 1 species
UACGAAGGGGGCUAGCGUUGCUCGGAAUCACUGGGCGUAAAGCGCACGUAGGCCGAUUGUUAAGUCAGGGGUGAAAUCCUGGAGCUCAACUCCAGAACUGCCUUUGAUACUGGCGAUCUUGAGUUCGGGAGAGGUGAGUGGAACUGCGAGUGUAGAGGUGAAAUUCGUAGAUAUUCGCAAGAACACCAGUGGCGAAGGCGGCUCACUGGCCCGAUACUGACGCUGAGGUGCGAAAGCGUGGGGAGCAAACAGG